UAAAUCUAUCUCCCACUUGCAGGCGAGCAGAGUUUUGGGUCCCGUGAACUUCUCAGAGCUGUUCAUCCGAGUGGUCAGCCGAUCCCCCAACAUCGACACCCUGAAGAAAGCAGCCAGACAAUACGUUGAGACUACUAUUAAUACUAUUGAGCCUGCAGAAUAAGAUCAAAUUUAAGAUGUCAUCAUCGAAUCCAGUAAUGAGCUGACACAACAGAUAUUGGUGAACAUGUAGUCUUUUCAUCAAGCCUGCUAUUCAAUUUUUAAAAAAAUUCCAAUACUUUGGGGAAAUAUGUAACAACACGUUUUAUUUAUUUUUCUCUGGAGCUUUUUUAUGGCAUUAUUUUAUUAUAUUAAAUCAGUUCUCGUUUACAGGCAUUACAAACGGAUUUUGUUUUCAUAUAGUGCAAUUUAUUACUGUUUUAUUAUUUUGCAGUAAAAGUAAGGGUUAGGGUUGACAGAUUUCGCUUAUAUGGUAAUAAAUACAUUGCAUUAGUGAUGUGUAUGGUUUAUUGACAUUUACGUUCUAGGGUAAUAGGCAUUUAUUUAGUCUUAUAAUAUUUUUUUCUGAUAUAUGAAUUUAUAAAAGGUCUAUAUAUUUAUUACAUAAAUAAAAUGUGGGUUUUAAUAUUGUGCGAGUUUAUAUAGCCAACGUUUAAGCAUGUAAUACAUAACUACAGAAUAAAACUGCAUAUUUCUACCUA
rnacentral:sRNA from 1 species